rnacentral:rRNA from 1 species
AUACGGAGGAUCCGAGCGUUAUCCGGAUUUAUUGGGUUUAAAGGGAGCGUAGGCGGGAGAUCAAGUCAGCUGUGAAAUGUAGGCGCUCAACGUGUGCACUGCAGUUGAUACUGGUUUCCUUGAGUACGGUACAGGUGGGCGGAAUUCGUGGUGUAGCGGUGAAAUGCUUAGAUAUCACGAAGAACUCCGAUCGCGAAGGCAGCUCACCGGGCCGGAACUGACACUGAUGCUCGAAAGUGCGGGUAUCAAACAGGAUUAGAUACCCUGGUAGUCCGCACAGUAAACGAUGAAUACUCGCUGUUUGCGAUACACUGUAAGCGGCCAAGCGAAAGCGUUAAGUAUUCCACCUGGGGAGUACGCCGGCAACGGUGAAACUCAAAUGAAUUGACGGGG